GAUGAACGCUGGCGGCGUGCCUAAUACAUGCAAGUCGAGCGAACGGACGAGAAGCUUGCUUCUCUGAUGUUAGCGGCGGACGGGUGAGUAACACGUGGAUAACCUACCUAUAAGACUGGGAUAACUUCGGGAAACCGGAGCUAAUACCGGAUGAUAUUUUGAACCGCAUGGUUCAAAAGUGAAAGACGGUCUUGCUGUCACUUAUAGAUGGAUCCGCGCUGCAUUAGCUAGUUGGUAAGGUAACGGCUUACCAAGGCAACGAUGCAUAGCCGACCUGAGAGGGUGAUCGGCCACACUGGAACUGAGACACGGUACAGACUCCUACGGGAGGCAGCAGUAGGGAAUCUUCCGCAAUGGGCGAAAGCCUGACGGAGCAACGCCGCGUGAGUGAUGAAGGUCUUCGGAUCGUAAAACUCUGUUAUUAGGGAAGAACAUAUGUGUAAGUAACUGUGCACAUCUUGACGGUACCUAAUCAGAAAGCCACGGUUAACUACGUG
rnacentral:rRNA from 1 species